rnacentral:rRNA from 1 species
GACGGAAGGUGCAAGCGUUGCUCGGAAUCACUGGGCGUAAAGGGUGCGUAGGCGGCCGCGCAAGUCUGGCGUGAAAGCCCCGGGCUCAGCCCGGGAAGGGCGCUCGAAACGGCGCGGCUCGAGUGCCGGAGGGGAGAGUGGAAUUCCAGGUGUAGCGGUGGAAUGCGUAGAUAUCUGGAAGAACACCGGUGGCGAAGGCGGUGGUCUGGGCCGUGGACUGACGCUGAGGAGCGAAAGCCAGGGGAGCGAACGGG